AGUCGAACGGUAAACGCGGGGCAACCUGGCGACGAGUGGCGAACGGGUGAGUAAUGCAUCGGAACGUGCCCAGUAGUGGGGGAUAGCCCGGCGAAAGCCGGAUUAAUACCGCAUACGACCUAUGGGUGAAAGCGGGGGACCGUAAGGCCUCGCGCUAUUGGAGCGGCCGAUGUCAGAUUAGGUUGUUGGUGGGGUAAAGGCCUACCAAGCCGACGAUCUGUAGCUGGUCUGAGAGGACGACCAGCCACACUGGGACUGAGACACGGCCCAGACUCCUACGGGAGGCAGCAGUGGGGAAUUUUGGACAAUGGGGGCAACCCUGAUCCAGCCAUGCCGCGUGCGGGAAGAAGGCCUUCGGGUUGUAAACCGCUUUUGUCAGGGAAGAAACGCUCUGAGUUAAUACCUCGGGGUAAUGACGGUACCUGAAGAAUAAGCACCGGCUAACUACGUGCCAGCAGCCGCGGUAAUACGUAGGGUGCAAGCGUUAAUCGGAAUUACUGGGCGUAAAGCGUGCGCAGGCGGUCUUGCAAGACAGAUGUGAAAUCCCCGGGCUCAACCUGGGAACUGCAUUUGUGACUGCAAGGCUGGAGUGCGGCAGAGGGGGAUGGAAUUCCGCGUGUAGCAGUGAAAUGCGUAGAUAUGCGGGAGGAGCACCGAUGGCGAAGGCAAUCCCCUGGGCCUGCACUGACGCUCAUGCACG
rnacentral:rRNA from 1 species